rnacentral:rRNA from 1 species
UACGUAGGGGGCAAGCGUUGUCCGGAUUUAUUGGGCGUAAAGAGCGUGUAGGCGGCUUCACAGGUCCGCUGUGAAAACUCGAGGCUCAACCUCGAGACGUCGGCGGAAACCAUCUGGCUAGAGUCCGGAAGAGGAGAGUGGAAUUCCUGGUGUAGCGGUGAAAUGCGCAGAUAUCAGGAAGAACACCCGUGGCGAAGGCGGCUCUCUGGGACGGUACUGACGCUGAGACGCGAAAGCGUGGGGAGCGAACAGG